rnacentral:rRNA from 1 species
GCGAACGCUGGCGGCAGGCUUAACACAUGCAAGUCGAGCGGGCGUAGCAAUACGUCAGCGGCAGACGGGUGAGUAACGCGUGGGAACAUACCUUUUGGUUCGGAACAACACAGGGAAACUUGUGUUAAUACCGGAUAAGCCCUUACGGGGAAAGAUUUAUCGCCGAAAGAUUGGCCCGCGUCUGAUUAGCUUGUUGGUGAGGUAACGGCUCACCAAGGCGACGAUCAGUAGCUGGUCUGAGAGGAUGAUCAGCCACAUUGGGACUGAGACACGGCCCAAACUCCUACGGGAGGCAGCAGUGGGGAAUAUUGGACAAUGGGCGCAAGCCUGAUCCAGCCAUGCCGCGUGAGUGAUGAAGGCCCUAGGUUGUAAAGCUCUUUUGUGCGGGAAGAUAAUGACGGUACCGCAAGAAUAAGCCCCGGCUAACUUCGUGCCAGCAGCCGCUGUAAC